rnacentral:misc_RNA from 1 species
GUAACAAAUUAAAGAACACUGCCACAAUAACAACAAUAUACAAGGGAAUGGGGGGAAGGGACCCUGCAACAUUGCAAUAAUAAUAUGUAUGAAUAAACAUCUAGGGGCAAUGUUGGCAUGCAGUACUGAAACUAUUCCAUGUAAGUGUUGAUCACAUUAUUAAUUAACACAUUCAUAGCUCCUCAAUAUUAUAACUGGGAUUCCUAAAAAAACUCUAUAGAUCAGAGGGAUAUUUCUUGUGAUCAUUUCAGUCUAGAAUGUUCAUUCACAAACAUGGAAGAGAAAGGGUAUGAAAUUUGGGGAUGAGAGGCUUACUUUUUCUCUCCUUUUUUAUCAACAAUGAGAGGGCCAAAGAUUAUCAUAGAGAAAAAGAAGAAAUGGAACUAUAUAUUGAAAAUUAUAAAUGUAGAGAUUCAAGUAUCAAUAGUGAAGAGAAAUUACAGCAAGGCAGACGAAUGGAGAUUGAAUCAGGGAGAAGAGAAAGAGGAAAAGGGCG